GCAUUGCUGAGGAGUUCCACAAUAGGACGAAACGGUCGUCCGGUUC
rnacentral:hammerhead_ribozyme from 1 species